rnacentral:tRNA from 1 species
GGGGCUGUAGCUUAGUGGUAAAGUGCUUGUCUCGCAUGUAUGAGGCACUGGGUUCAAUCCUCAGCACCA